rnacentral:rRNA from 1 species
AUUGAACGCUGGCGGCAGGCUUAACACAUGCAAGUCGAGCGGAGCGAGGGUGCUUGCACCUUAGCUUAGCGGCGGACGGGUGAGUAACGCUUAGGAAUCUGCCUAUUAGUGGGGGACAACAUUCCGAAAGGAAUGCUAAUACCGCAUACGCCCUACGGGGGAAAGCCGGGGAUAUUUGUACCUUGCGCUAAUAGAUGAGCCUAGGUCGGAUUAGCUCGUUGGUGGGGUAAAGGCCUACCAAGGCGACGAUCUGUAGCGGGUCUGAGAGGAUGAUCCGCCACACUGGGACUGAGACACGGCCCAGACUCCUACGGGAGGCAGCAGUGGGGAAUAUUGGACAAUGGGCGGAAGCCUGAUCCAGCCAUGCCGCGUGUGUGAAGAAGGCCUUUUGGUUGUAAAGCACUUUAAGCGAGGAGGAGGAGCUCUAGGUUAAUACCCUAGAUGCUUGGACGUUACUCGCAGAAUAAGCACCGGCUAACUCUGUGCCAGCCGCCGCGGUAAUAC